CCUGACGACCAUAGCAAGGUGGUACCACUCCUUCCCAUCCCGAACAGGACAGUGAAACGCCUU
rnacentral:rRNA from 1 species